AUUGAACGCUGGCGGCAGGCCUAACACAUGCAAGUCGAACGAGUGGCGGACGGGUGAGUAAUGUCUGGGAAACUGCCUGAUGGAGGGGGAUAACUACUGGAAACGGUAGCUAAUACCGCAUACCAUCAGAUGUGCCCAGAUGGGAUUAGCUAGUUGGUGGGGUAACGGCUCACCAAGGCGACGAUCCCUAGCUGGUCUGAGAGGAUGACCAGCCAACCUGGAAUUAAGCCCCGUGCCAGACUCCUACGGGAGGCAGCAGUGGGGAAUAUUGCACAAUGGGCGCAAGCCUGAAGCAGCCAUGCCGGGUGUAUGAAGAGGGCCUUCGGUUUGUAAAGUACUUUCAGCGGGGAGGGGUUACCGGCAGAAGAAGCACCGGCUAACUCCGUGCCAGCGGCCGCGGUAAUA
rnacentral:rRNA from 1 species